CUCCGGGUGGUCUAGUUGGUUUAUGGCAUCGCACUGUAAUUGUCUCAUUAUAUGCGAGAGUCGGGCGUUCGAUUCGCCCCCUGGAGA
rnacentral:tRNA from 1 species